rnacentral:lncRNA from 1 species
UAAAUAAAAUUUAUCACAAAAUUAAAUAAAAAAAGAAUAAAAAAUAAAAAUAAAAAAUACUAUUUGUUUUACUAUUUGCACUCCCAAGUUAACCUUUUAAUCCUUAGCCCAAUGGUCCAAAAUAAUCCCACAGUUUUUUACUUUCUUACCACCAUAUUUUUCUUCUUACACCCCACUCUCCACAUCAUCAUCCACAUCACCCUCCAUAUCACAUUCCACAUCAUCUACCUUUUUCCACCUCAUUUUCAUAUUAAUUUUUAUAGACAAACUUUUCUAAUAAUUCCACUUACCUUUUUUUUAAUUAUAUCUUCGCCACAAACUUUUUUUUUUUAUUUCCUUCGUCAAUUUUCUCCAUCUACUUUUCCACCAUACUUUUGUAUUAAUUUAUCUUUCUAAAUUUUAUUUAUUCCAACACUUUUCUAGAUUAUAUUUUAUCCAUCACCUUCUCCACCAACCUUUUUUAUUAUUUCUUUCAUCCAUUUUUUCCAUCUACUCUUCCACCCCACUUUUUUUUUUAUUAAUUUCUCUUACUAAGUUUUACUUAUUCCAAUCACUUUUCUAAAUCAUAUUUUACUCACCACCUUCUCUUCCAACAUAUUUUGUUAUUUCCUUCAUCCAUUUUCUCCAUCUACUUUUCCACUCCACUUUUAUAUUAAUUUCUCUUACUAACUUUUAUUUAUUCCAUCACUUUUCUAAAUGAUAGUUUAUCCACCACCUUCUCCAUCAACCUUAUUUUAUUAUUUCCUUCAUCCUCUAGUGUUAGACUUAGCAUUCGCCUUAAUUCUUGU